ACUAUGGAUUGAUAGAGGUAGCUAUGAUCAGCUGAUUAAUUUUCCCCCACAGAGAGCAUCCCCUUUGCUGCUAUAUAUUCACCACAGACUCAAAAACAAGGAAUGCUAUUACAAAGGAGGUUCCAACAGGAUCUAUAUGUGUUAAUGAUUGCAUAGUUCAUUUCUCGAGGAGAAGCCACUAACUCUUUACAUCUUUACGGAGCACAAAAAUAUUCCAAACCUCUUUUUAGCACGCACAUCUAGUGGCAGUUCCUGUGUGAAUGACACUAUGAUUCACUUGUCAGAGAGAAGCCGUUGGCUCUGUAUGUAUUCUCAAACAGUAAAGACCUAGUAGAGGUUUUCAUGGAACAAGUGCCUUAUGGUGGCUGUACUGUCAAUGAUGUGGUAUUCCAUGCUGCAGUUCAUGACCUACCUUU